CCUACGGGCGGCUGCAGUGGGGAAUAUUGGACAAUGGGGGGAACCCUGAUCCAGCCAUGCCGCGUGUGUGAAGAAGGCCCUCGGGUUGUAAAGCACUUUCAGUGAGGAAGAACGCCUGGUGGUUAAUACCCAUCAGGAAAGACAUCACUCACAGAAGAAGCACCGGCUAACUCCGUGCCAGCAGCCGCGGUAAUACGGAGGGUGCGAGCGUUAAUCGGAAUUACUGGGCGUAAAGCGCGCGUAGGUGGCUUGAUAAGCCGGUUGUGAAAGCCCCGGGCUCAACCUGGGAACGGCAUCCGGAACUGUCAAGCUAGAGUGCAGGAGAGGAAGGUAGAAUUCCCGGUGUAGCGGUGAAAUGCGUAGAGAUAGGGAGGAAUACCAGUGGCGAAGGCGGCCUUCUGGACUGACACUGACACUGAGGUGCGAAAGCGUGGGUAGCAAACAGGAUUAGAUACCCUGGUAGUC
rnacentral:rRNA from 1 species